rnacentral:rRNA from 1 species
AUGAACGCUAGCUACAGGCUUAACACAUGCAAGUCGAGGGGAAACGACAUCGAAAGCUUGCUUUUGAUGGGCGUCGACCGGCGCACGGGUGAGUAACGCGUAUCCAACCUGCCCAUCACUUGGGAAUAACCUUGCGAAAGUAAGACUAAUACCCAAUGAUAUCCCACGAAGGCAUCGGAAUGGGAUUAAAGAUUUAUCGGUGAUGGAUGGGGAUGCGUCUGAUUAGCUUGUUGGCGGGGUAACGGCCCACCAAGGCAACGAUCAGUAGGGGUUCUGAGAGGAAGGUCCCCCACAUUGGAACUGAGACACGGUCCAAACUCCUACGGGAGGCAGCAGUGAGGAAUAUUGAUCAAUGGGCGAGAGCCUGAACCAGCCAAGUAGCGUGCAGGAAGACGGCCCUAUGGGUUGUAAACUGCUUUUAUAAGGGAAUAAAGUGGGUCACGUGUGACUUUUUGCAUGUACCUUAUGAAUAAGGACCGGCUAAUUCCGUG